UACGGGAGGCAGCAGUGGGGAAUAUUGCACAAUGGGCGCAAGCCUGAUGCAGCCAUGCCGCGUGUAUGAAGAAGGCCUUCGGGUUGUAAAGUACUUUCAGUCGUGAGGAAGGUGUUAAGGUUAAUAACCUUAGCAAUUGACGUUAGCGACAGAAGAAGCACCGGCUAACUCCGUGCUAGCAGCCGCGGUAAUACGGAGGGUGCGAGCGUUAAUCGGAAUUACUGGGCGUAAAGGGCACGCAGGCGGUUAAUUAAGUUGGAUGUGAAAUCCCCGGGCUUAACCUGGGAAUGGCAUUCAAGACUGGUUAGCUAGAGUCUUGUAGAGGGGGUAGAAUUCCAUGUGUAGCGGUGAAAUGCGUAGAGAUGUGGAGGAAUACCGGUGGCGAAGGCGGCCCCUGGGACAAAGACUGACGCUCAUGUGUGAAAGCGUGGGGAGCAAACGAGGAUUAGAUACC
rnacentral:rRNA from 1 species